UUCAUCUCCUUUUUUCAGCGAGGGAGACCAGGUUGAAGUGAGUCAGUCUGGAACGAACUUCGGCGAAUCCUGGAAUCCAGCCACUGUUCUUAAAGUGAUUGGUGCUACAAAUUUCUUAGUAAAGUACAUGCAUAAUGGGAAAGACGGGAAAUCAGCUACUGAGAUUCUGGAUUCUCAGUAUAUUCGGCCAGCACGCGCCAUCACCUGUGUUGACUCAAAGUACAGAUUUUCUCCUUCUUCUCAUGUUGAGGUCCUUCACGAAGAUAGCUGGUGGCCUGGUGUUAUGCUGAAUGUCUUAGGUACUGGAACCGACAAGAAGUAUGUAGUAAUGUUGGAUUGUCACAAGACGGAUCGACAUCGACCAUAUGGAUAUGCUGAGGGUUGAAAUUACGCAGCUCGGGCCACUGUGUGACUGGGACGGUGAAAAAUGGGUACCCUGCUUGAAGAAGAAAUCUUGGAUUCAUAAAUGGGAGAAGCACAUAAGGGAGAAGAAGAUAAUUGCAAGGAUGGAGAGGGAGCAAAUCAUUUGGAGGGAUAGAAUGCCACUGUUUGGUGUUUUUAUGCAUUUUUGUUUGCUUUCAACUGUGUUUGCACUAGUUGGGAUAAGUGACUAGGCAAUAAGUGUAGCUGGGAUAAGUGACUAGGCAACUAGUUUACUAUAAAUCUUCGAUUUGGACUGAUGUAUAAUGCUGCUGGUUUAUAACAAAUCUGGGCUUGUUUUAGUUGUUAGAAUUGUAUGCAUAAAAUGGAAUUGUUGGAUUUUAUUUUA